rnacentral:rRNA from 1 species
CCCUUAGAUGUUCUCGGCCGCACACGCGCUACACUGAAAGAGGCAACGUGUUUGCCUGAUUCGAAAGAAUUGGGUAACCCCCUAAUCUCUUUCGUGCUGGGGAUUGAGGUUUGCAAUUAUCCUUCAUGAACGAGGAAUUCCCAGUAAGUGCGAGUCAUUAUCUCGCGCUGACUACGUCCCUGCCCUUUGUACACACCGCCCGUCGCUACUACCGAUUGAAUGAUUUAGUGAGGACUUCGGACUGAGUCCAAUGCGGCUUUCGGGCUGCGUUGGUAUUUCGGAAAGAUGUCCAAACUGUAUCAUUUAGAGGGAGUAAAAGUCGUAACA